UACGGAGGGUGCAAGCGUUAUCCGGAUUUACUGGGGUUAAAGGGUGCGUAGGCGGUCCUUUAAGUCAGUGGUGAAAUCUCCCCGCUCAACGGGGAAACUGCCAUUGAUACUAUUGGUCUUGAAUUUAGUUGAGGUGGGCGGAAUGUGUCGUGUAGCGGUGAAAUGCUUAGAUAUGACACAGAACACCGAUUGCGAAGGCAGCUCGCUAAACUAAUAUUGACGCUGAGGCACGAAAGCGUGGGGAUCAAACAGG
rnacentral:rRNA from 1 species